UACACUUGAUCUUAGCCAAAAGGCCGAGAAGCGAUGCCUACACACGCUCAGACCAAGAGGCGACGUUCCCAGACACGUCGCUCCACGUGGCGGUUUAACAGACAACGAAAAAAAAACAAAAGAAUGACCAAGCACCCUGUGUGCGUGUUUGUGUGUAUGUGAAAGCUGAAGAAAUAAACCGAGGUCGCUACAUCUCUUUGCUGCUGCCUGCUGGCAGUCUCACUAGGCCGUCUGCAUGUUUCACAAAUAGAGUUUGGAGCAGUGGAGGCUUCUAUAAGACUACAGGUGAAGCAGUGCUUCACCAAAAAAAUGUUAAAAAAUAAAUAAACCAACAAUACUAUCGAAUACUGCCAAAAUGGUGGUGCCCACGAUUUCCCCGCCCCAACAACGUCAACACCCGGAACUCUAUUGCAGCCAUUGCAGCCAAUGAGCUCGAGUUGAAAAAGAAAAUAGCUUACAGCACGUGGUUUCACUCAGGUAAAUUGUAUCCCCUUCACCGUUUGCUAGUUGAUAAUUAGACCUUUUUUUUAAGAUGGAACAUGGAGGAGCCUACACAUCAGUGCACCGUGUGCGACAAGACAUUCAGUGAAAAGUCCAACCUGGCGAGUCAUCUGAAGAUCCAUGCCAUCGCCAGGGAGACCUUUACCUGUGAUGUCUGCGGGAAGAGCUUGGCCACUAAACCAUCGCUGGUCAGCCAUCAACAGCUACACCAGUACCCCAACAUCAUUUUGUACCGGCAAGGAGAGGCCAGGCUGUACUGUACAGAGGCAGCAAGGUCUGUGGCAGAGGCCCGCAGCAGCACUGUUGUUGACCCUAAAUGGCUGGAUCUCAAGACAGCAGAGGCGGCUGCCAAGAGGUCGGGGGCUGAGCUGUGGAAAGGUCAGCUGGUCAUCACGUUCGGGUAGUACGCCGGUCAGACCUUCAGGUGGCUUGUGGAGAAUGAUGUCGGCUGGCUGGUGUGGCUGCUGUUCCAGUACUGCCAGCAGGGAGAGCAGAACGAGCUGCUGAAGUGGCAGAAGGAGCGACUGCUCCUUCGGCCACAAGGUGACUCCUCACCUGAAAGUGCUGUCGGACGCACCGUUCCCGGAGGCUCCUGCGCUGCCAACAUCCCUCCCUCCGCCAGACCGGCCUCAGGUCCAGUACCGGCUCAUCCAUCACGAGGCUGGAAAGAGACGUGGUGAGAAGCGGAGGUAAGUUGUCAUAAGCACUUUGUUUCACCUGUUGGCUGUGGAAAGCAAAUAGCACACACGUCAUAUCAAUACUGAUCACAUGUGUAUUUUAUGUUUCCAGAUUAUUUGUUGCUGAGCCACAGCCUGUGACUCCCGCGAACCGACCCGUUCAGCCCACUGGGUUGUCGUCCUCCACCCGGCCGAAGCCUGCUGCGCUCACCCCCAUUCUGCCGAGGCCUUCUGCGCCCACCCACCUCCAGCCGAGGCCACCCGCUGCGUUGACCUACGGCCCACCCCCUGUGUCGGCAGCACCCAUACUGCAGGUCUUCCCCGCACAGCCACAGGCCCCCUCCGUCCUGUUUCGUGGGACAUCCUGCAGCCAGUGCUUUGUCCCUCCUGCACCAACAGUGAAGGCAUUCAUGCCUAACAAGUCCUCAAGGCCAUGUGGGGCUUGCCACAUGCCAAACUGUGGUGGACAGUGGAAGAGGUACAACCCUUUCAAGGACAAAGUGGCUGGAAGCAUGCAGAAAAUGUUUUCCUACUGUCCAUCCACUAGGAAGUCCACUACCCCUGGCUUCGACAAUGUGGUGUAUGACAACUUUGAACUCUUUAAGAGUGUCGUGGAUGCAGAGUUGGAAAGGAGGACUGUGUGUGUGUGUGUGUGUGUGUGUGUGUGUGUGUGUGUGUGUGUGUGUGUGUGUGUGUGUGUGUGUGUGUGUGUGUGUGUGUGUGUGU